GUUGGUUCAAGUAGUGGAUGCCCAAGGGAGUGACUAGCCACUGGGUGACACUGGUACAGUAGCUCCAGAAAAAUGCUUAUUUGGGGCAAUGCUAAAUAUUGCGGCAGUUUUAUAAAACAACCCUUUUUGCUGCACAUGUAAGUGGAGCUGUGCUUACCUUUGGUAUGGGCUCAUUAUAUAUGUUUGUUCAGACCAUCCUUUCCUACCAAAUGCAGCCCAAAAUCCAUGGCAAACAAGUCUUCUGGAUCAGACUGUUGUUGGUUAUCUGGUGUGGAGUAAGUGCACUUAGCAUGCUGACUUGCUCAUCAGUUUUGCACAGUGGCAAUUUUGGGACUGAUUUAGAACAGAAACUCCAUUGGAACCCCGAGGACAAAGGUUAUGUGCUUCACAUGAUCACUACUGCAGCAGAAUGGUCUAUGUCAUUUUCCUUCUUUGGUUUUUUCCUGACUUACAUUCGUGAUUUUCAGAAAAUUUCUUUACGGGUGGAAGCCAAUUUACAUGGAUUAACCCUCUAUGACACUGCACCUUGCCCUAUUAACAAUGAACGAACACGGCUACUUUCCAGAGAUAUUUGAUGAAAGGAUAAAAUAUUUCUGUAAUGAUUAUGAUUC
rnacentral:lncRNA from 1 species